rnacentral:rRNA from 1 species
UCAGUCGACUCCUACGGGGAGGCAGCAGUGGGGAAUAUUGGACAAUGGGCAAAGCCUGAUCCAGCCAUGCCGCGUGUGUGAAGAAGGUCUUCGGAUUGUAAAGCACUUUAAGUUGGGAGGAAGGGCAUUAACCUAAUACGUUAGUGUUUUGACGUUACCGACAGAAUAAGCACCGGCUAACUCUGUGCCAGCAGCCGCGGUAAUACAGAGGUGCAAGCGUUAAUCGGAAUUACUGGGCGUAAAGCGCGCAUAGGUGGUUUGUUAAGUUGGAUGUGAAAUACCCCGGGCUCAACCUGGGAACUGCAUUACAAAACUAGACUGACUAGAGUAUGGUAGGAGGGUGGUGGAAUUUCCUGUGUAGCGGUGAAAAUGCGUAGAUAUAGGAAGGAACACCAGUGGCGAAGGCGACCACCUGGACUAAUACUGACACUGAGGUGACGAAAGCGUGGGGAGCAAACAGGAUUAGAUACCCUGGUAG